UGUGGGAGCGGGCUUGCUCGCGAAUGCGGCGUGUCAGUCGCCAUUGACUCCACUGAUGCACCGCUUUCGCGAGCAAGCCCGCUCCCACA
rnacentral:antisense_RNA from 6 species